rnacentral:rRNA from 2 species
UGCAGUCGAGCGAACUGAUUAGAAGCUUGCUUCUAUGACGUUAGCGGCGGACGGGUGAGUAACACGUGGGCAACCUGCCUGUAAGACUGGGAUAACUUCGGGAAACCGAAGCUAAUACCGGAUAGGAUCUUCUCCUUCAUGGGAGAUGAUUGAAAGAUGGUUUCGGCUAUCACUUACAGAUGGGCCCGCGGUGCAUUAGCUAGUUGGUGAGGUAACGGCUCACCAAGGCAACGAUGCAUAGCCGACCUGAGAGGGUGAUCGGCCACACUGGGACUGAGACACGGCCCAGACUCCUACGGGAGGCAGCAGUAGGGAAUCUUCCGCAAUGGACGAAAGUCUGACGGAGCAACGCCGCGUGAGUGAUGAAGGCUUUCGGGUCGUAAAACUCUGUUGUUAGGGAAGAACAAGUACGAGAGUAACUGCUCGUACCUUGACGGUACCUAACCAGAAAGCCACGGCUAACUACGUGCCAGCAGCCGCGGUAAUACGUAGGUGGCAAGCGUUAUCCGGAAUUAUUGGGCGUAAAGCGCGCGCAGGCGGUUUCUUAAGUCUGAUGUGAAAGCCCACGGCUCAACCGUGGAGGGUCAUUGGAAACUGGGGAACUUGAGUGCAGAAGAGAAAA